rnacentral:misc_RNA from 1 species
AGCGUCAGGAAAGAAAAAAAAAAUUCUUGUUCAGUGUAAAGUUGAACAAGAAUUUGAUCAUCCAUAAUGGAAGCCUCUGCCGGAGUUUUACGCCGAUUUCCUUCAGUCACCGGCGCCGGUGUCGGAGUUAGCAGCAAUCCGUUGAAUCGUAGUUGUAGUGUUUCACGUGUUAGUUUGAAAUCAAUGGGUUGUGGGUUUUACGAUGAGGGUUGUUUGGAGUAUUAUUCAUCUGGUAGAGGUGGAAUUAUUAGGUGUGGGAAGAAGAAGAACAAAGAGAAGGAUAUGGCGGAGUUGAAGAAAACGAAGAAGAAGAUGAAAUUACUUAAGGGUUUGACGAAGAAUUUGUCGAAUUUGAAUGGGAUGGGAUUAGGGUUCGGUUGUGAUGUUGAUUUGGUUGAUCAAGUUCAAGGGAAGACAAUUUCGGAGGCGGCGGAGCUAUUGUUGGGACAGCUUCAACAGUUGAAGGCAGAGGAGAAGGAGUUGAAGAGGAAAAGAAAAGAAGAAAAAGCACAAAUGAAGAUGAAAGUAGCAGCAAGUGAAGUGCAGAGCAACACAAGGAGCUGUGCAAUGUCAUCAUCUUCAAGCUCGUCUUCAGAAUCGAGUGAUUCAAGUGAUGAUGAAUGUCAAAAUUUGGUUGACAUGAAAAGCCUGAAAAUCGGAACACUUGCUCAAACAAUUCCUGAAGCGUGUGAUCGAGCACUUGAUAAUGCAACACUAAACCCUUCCCUUUCAACUCCAGAAGUCGAUACAACAGUAGAGAUCUCAAGCAUGCCAUCAACUACCACGGAGGAAUCAACUGGGAAGACGACAAGUUUUGAGUUUUCAGUCCCUGAACAAAAAGGCGAAUGCUGCUUGGAAGCUAGUGAUUGUCACAUUGGCAAUGUAGGCAGCAGUAUCACACCAGGCACUAGGUCUAAUGUAUCAUCUAUAGCAGCAGCUACAACGACAACAGCAGAGGGUACAAAGAGAAUCGAAGUAUGUAUGGGUGGUAAAUGCAAGCGAUUGGGCGCUGGAGCGUUACUAGAAGAAUUCCAACGCGUUGCUGGGAUUGAAGCUGCAGUCUCUGGUUGCAAAUGCAUGGGAAAGUGUAAAGUUGGUCCUAAUGUCAAAGUUUCAGGGUGUAGCAGCAGCAGCAUCUCGGACGCCUUCCAAGCCGGUGACUCGGUUGCUGUUAGCUCUGCUCCAACUACAAGUAACUCUCUAUGUAUUGGGGUUGGUUUAGAGGAUGUGAGUCUAAUUGCAGCCAAUUUACUUGGCAGAUAUCAAGAAGUAGGCUUGGCCAAUGCUUUGCCUUAAAUCUUUUUUUCUUUCAUUAGCAAUAUAGUAGGUAGGUUUUUUUGGGAUUUUG